rnacentral:rRNA from 1 species
UACAGAGGUCUCAAGCGUUGUUCGGAUUCAUUGGGCGUAAAGGGUGCGUAGGUGGCGCUGUAAGUCGGGUGUGAAAUUUCGGAGCUUAACUCCGAAACUGCAUUCGAUACUGCGGUGCUUGAGGGCUGGAGAGGAGACUGGAAUUUACGGUGUAGCGGUGAAAUGCGUAGAUAUCGUAAGGAAGACCAGUGGCGAAGGCGGGUCUCUGGACAGUUCCUGACGCUGAGGCACGAAGGUCAGGGGAGCAAACGGG